rnacentral:rRNA from 1 species
UACGUCAACAUCCUUAACGAAUUUAACCCAUUCUAACCUAUUGACCAUCGACUUUGAUAACCGUAAGCACGCUUUCGGCACCAGAGCAACGAUCAGAGAUCAGACAGGUAGCCCCGAAGGGUAUCCGUUGCAAUCCUCAAUCCCGAUCAUCACAUCUGCCGAAGGCUAUAACACUUCAAUCGAAAUCGAAGCUACAUUCCUCCAGCCAUUUUAUGAUAAUCAAAAUUGAUGUUAACUAACCACACAGGCAAGUACACCCAAAGUACACGAAUAUGCAGGCAUGAAGGCGUUUAACUCCUCACACUCCCAGAAUCAUGCCCAAAAGGCUGAUUACCCGCAGGUACGACUGGCUUCAAUCGUUUCCCUUUCAACAAUUUCACGUACUGUUUAACUCUCUUUUCAAAGUUCUUUUCAUCUUUCCCUCACGGUACUUGUUCGCUAUCGGUCUCUCGCCGUUAUUUAGCCUUAGGAGGAAUUUACCUCCCAUUUUAAGCUGCAAUCCCAAACAACUUGACUCUUUGAAAGCGUAUCGUAAAGCGAAUCUGAUCAACCGAACGGGAUUCUCACCCUCCGUGAUGCCUUAUCCCAAAGGACUUGGACUGAUCAGAAACACAGAAAACGCCUCUUCAAAUUACAACUCGGUCAGGUAGAACCCGACAGAUUUAAAAUUUGAGCUUGUCCCUCUUCACUCGCAGUUACUAGGGGAAUCAUUGUUAUUUUCUUUUCCUCCGCUUAUUGAUAUCG